rnacentral:tRNA from 1 species
GGGGACAUAGUUCAACGGAAGAACGCUCGGAGCCUACUGAGAAACGCGGGUUCGACUCCCGCCGUCCCCG